ensembl:misc_RNA 7SK 7SK RNA
GGAUGUGAGGACUACCUGGCUGUGACAUCAGUUACCCCAUUGAUCGCUAGGGUUGAUGUGGUUGAUCUGGUUGAUCUGACUGGAUAGGCGGGUGUCCCCUUCCUCCCUCACUGCUCCAUGUGUGUCCCUCCCAAAGCUGUGUGCUCAGUUGAAGAGGACAACCAUCCAUGAUAAAUGACGAAUGGCCUUCGGUCAAGGGUAUACAAGUACCUAUGCUCCCCUGCAAGAAUCUCCAAAUACGCUCUCAAGCAAAAGGGGUUACCUCCAAGUGCUCAUUCCCUGUUUCCACACCCGGUUUCAGUUACC